GAAUGUCUGCCAUGGAAAGCCAGCCAGGCGGGCACGGGGCUGGGGCCAGAGGUGGGCUCAAAUGACCAUCAGGGUUUCACACUGGAGGCAGAAGAAGAAAGGGGGAACCACUUCCGGCUGACACUUGGCAUGGGCCAACAGGGAAACAGCAUGGACUCGGUAGUCCUGUGUGUCUGGGAAGCAGGCUGCUCAGAGAGCAUAUGGACCCCCAGCCCCCCGGCCCAGGACAGGGGAGACUCACCAACAUUGGCGACAUAGAGCUUGUUGUUGAGGAGGACAGCCACGACGGCCAUGGCUCCCCCUGAAAUCUCCCUCUCCAAUGCCUUGAGUCUUUCGAGGAUCUUUUGAUACUGAGGAGGCAGCUGGUGCUGAGGGACACCCUACAAGCCAUCAUUAGGGUCAAUGAAGGGUCUGCAGAAGCCAUCCCACCAACCCUCCUCCCCUUAAAGUGCCAGGGGCUGAGGACGUGCAGCUCAGAUGGAAGCGGCACAGCAGCCCCAGGGGUGGAGGGAGCCUAACCUGUCCUGCUGGCUCGGAAACUCUAGGUGACGAGGCUGUGGACUGACUCAGGUUGAGGAAGGACCUGGAAAAGGACUGCAGGCCAGGGAGGCCCCUAUCACCGGCUCACCAGGAAGAGGGCCUGCAGUGCCAGGUGUGUGACCCAAGGGCAAGCUCCAGCUGUCUCUCUCUCUCUGAUCAGAAAGUGACCUGGGGAAGUGAAUUCACACACGCGCAAGGCCUUGGUCCCACCAAAAAAGGACUGAAUUCCUGCUGCUCUAGCCCAGCCAUACCAACGGCCUAAGAGUGACAGGUGGAGCUGACAUGGCCCUCCUGGGGUAUGGCGGGAGGUUACCUCUGGCAGCUGGGACUGGAGGCUGGCCUUCUCAGCCAGAGCAUCAUCAAUGGACUCCAGGAAGCUCCGCUCCACCACGUCAAAGGCCUGCAAGGCAGGGGACAAGGAGAGAUGUUGGCAGAAGCUGGUUCAAAAUGCCACCACCACCUGCUACUGAAACACCCCUGGCUGAGAAUAAGAUGUGUCAGCUGCAGGUCAUCAUGUGAUGGACACGGGCCACACAAGACACUGCCUUCCUGCAGUGCCGUGUCUCUGACAGAGACCUCAGCCUCAUAGGGCUGAUGCUUUCUUUCUUCCUUUUUAAUAUUUAUUAUUGGAUAGAGACAGGAAGAAAUUGAGAUAGAGAAACAGACACCUGCAUCUGUUUUACCACUCAUGAAGCCUUCCCUUUGCAGGUGGAGCGGGGGCUUGAACCCGGUCCUUGAGCACUGUAAUGUGUGUGCUUAAACAAGUGUGCCACCACCUGCCCCCCCCCCCCAAAGCACUGGUCACCCUUGGCUGAUGGUGGUGCAGGGGAUUGAACCUGGGACUUUGGAGCCUCAGUCACCAGGUUCCAGAUGCCAUCAGGAUGCUGGCCAGGCUUCCCUGGACUGAAGACCCCACCAAUGUGUCCUGGAGCUCCACUUCCCCAGAGACCCACCCUACUAGGGAAAGAGAGAGGCAGACUGGGAGUAUGGACCGACCAGUCAACGCCCAUGUUCAGCGGGGAAGCAAUUACAGAAGCCAGACCUUCUACCUUCUGCAACCCACAAUGACCCUGGGUCCAUGCUCCCAGAGGGAUAGAGAAUGGGGAAGCUAUCAGGG